rnacentral:lncRNA from 1 species
CACAAAUGUGGUGAGAAGAGAAAAACUACCGUUACUGUAAAGUUGGUUGGUCUAAGAUGAAUGCCAUUUUAGGAGAAAACUCCUGCGGUUAGUGUUCCCAUUUGGUUUGAAACGUGAGGCCCGGACAGAGCCAGGUCCACUGGCCUUCACCCUGUCGGACCCCACAGCUUCUCCUUCUCGGACACACUUGGUAAAAUCCCCUUUACCGUCCCGAAGGGAAAGGAAAUGUAUCUACACACAGAAUUCCCUCCCCGAAGUUAAUAUAAUGCCCGAUUUGUAAUAGAAAAGAGCCAUGAAAAUAAUUUAUGAUAAAAGGAUGUGUGUCUAGGCGUGACCACGCGGGGAUGUACCUGAAGAGACCGGAUGUGUGCUCUGGGCUCUCGUGAGUAAGUGUGGAUUCAACAGAAAUAAGACAAUAAUCAAUGGAAGAUGGGGGAAGCUUCCUUCACAGUUACUAAGUUGAAGUAAGAGUCAACUAAGAAUGUGUGUCUAUUUAAAACGAAGAAUCAUCUAGAAAUGCAGACAGACAGAGGUGGCUUCCGUGGUUCCUCCUGUACCUCCAGCAGCUUUGCUGUCAGUGCAGUAUUUUUUUCUGAAACGGUGAUUCAGAUCCUGGUAAAGUUCCAAACAAAACAAAAUGCAAUCUUCUCUAAAUUUACUCAGGAGUUAUGUUCUGGGAAACUCAGUGUGUAUUAAACUGCAAAAAAAUACUUUGUGUUUGUGUGUAAAGCGGAGCUAGGCUCUAGGGGAAAUCAUUAUAAACAGGUUUUUCACCUACGUGGAUGUCUGAUGGGUCAUCCAAAAGGUGUAUGGAGCAAUAAAUCAAAAACUGAAAGCAGAAAACUGGGCAGAAGAUUUGAGCAGACACUUCACGAAAGAGGAACUCCCAACGGCCUGUGACCACAGUGUGAGGCCACGGCACACCCUCCAGAAUGGCUGGCAUGAAACGGACAGACAACACUAAGUGCUGAAACACAGACGUCUGUGAAUCAAGAACUGUGUGCAGGAAUGUUGGAGGUGGCGCCAGCCCUGACAGCUGCAAACUGGAAACAGCCCACAUGCCCAUCAAGAGCUGUACGCAGCACCGUGGGGCCCUCUCCUGAACACGAUGGCGAGGGAAAGAAGCCAGACAAAGGGCACACGUGGCUUGAUGCAAUUUCUGGGAGGUUCAAGACAAAAGGAAUUCCUGGUGUUAGGAGUCAGGGUGGU